rnacentral:rRNA from 1 species
AGCGAACGCUGGCGGCAGGCCUAACACAUGCAAGUCGAACGGACCCUUCGGGGUUAGUGGCGGACGGGUGAGUAACACGUGGGAACGUGCCUUUUGGUUCGGAAUAGCUCCUGGAAACGGGUGGUAAUGCCGAAUGUGCCCUUUGGGGGAAAGAUUUAUCGCCAUUAGAGCGGCCCGCGUCUGAUUAGCUAGUUGGUGAGGUAAAGGCGCACCAAGGCGACGAUCAGUAGCUGGUCGGAGAGGAUGACCAGCCACAUUGGGACUGAGACACGGCCCAAACUCCUACGGGAGGCAGCAGUGGGGAAUCUUGCGCAAUGGGCGAAAGCCUGACGCAGCCAUGCCGCGUGAAUGAUGAAGGUCUUAGGAUUGUAAAAUUCUUUCACCGGGGACGAUAAUGACGGUACCCGGAGAAGAAGCCCCGGCUAACUUCGUGCCAGCCGCCGCCGUAAGAC